CGCGCAGGUGGUUUCUUAAGUCUGAUGUGAAAGCCCACGGCUCAACCGUGGAGGGUCAUUGGAAACUGGGAGACUUGAGUGCAGAAGAGGAUAGUGGAAUUCCAAGUGUAGCGGUGAAAUGCGUAGAGAUUUGGAGGAACACCAGUGGCGAAGGCGACUGUCUGGUCUGUAACUGACACUGAGGCUCGAAAGCGUGGGGAGCAAACA
rnacentral:rRNA from 1 species